rnacentral:lncRNA from 1 species
UUCGCCGGUUCAUCAAGCUGAGCUUCAGAUAGUGCGGUAUUCCUUCUGAGGUAAGUUUCUUGACCGUUCCUUACUUAUAGAAAUUAUGUCAUGCAUUCUUGAACUUUGCCAAUUUGCGCCGUUUCUUGGCUCACUUCCAGAGAAUAUGUCAUGAGUCAGAUUUUGUGAAAGAUGACCUUUUCAUUGUUCUUCAGAAAUGAAUAGAUGAAUGGCCAUUUGUACUUAUUUUGUCUGUCCCUGGAUUGUAUGAGAUAGCUUGUCUUUAGUUUGCAAGUCUAGCAACCUAUGCUGAUCAAAACAAAAGGGUUUUGACAAUGACCUCUACGAUCCUUCAAAGCCUUGUAAGCUUUGAAAUCUUUCAAGUGCGAUUCAGAGAAUUUCAGAAAACUCGAUCCCAUCUCUUCCUGCAAUAGUUUGGAAAGCAUUUGUUUCUACGUUGCAUUGAUUUUUAACAUGCUUCAGAUGUAUGAAUAAUAUAGAAGUAGGUUUUUGUGAGUUGGUAGUGUAAAACAAAAUUUGCAUUACAAUUCAAUGUUCUGUCAAGUCAAUUUGUAUUGCCAUUACAAUUCACUGGCUCAUCACUAUAGUCUCAGUUACCUUUAGAUAGUUUGGAUGUUAUUACUUUUGCUUAUUACUUUUGCUUAUUACAGAAUAAUCACAUCUUUGUAAAUGGGUUUAAUGUCCCUUUCAAGACUUUCUAAGGACUUCUCCCCGAUACCUCCGGUCAACUCUUUCUUCAAGACUGACUUGUAAUGCAUGUGUUUUAUCAUCUUGUAUCUGUGUAACAUACUGUGGCGUGAAUGACCUCACCACAUCUUGUGGAGUUUAAGAAAUGUUCCACUGAGCAUACUAUAAUAACUGCAAGUUUCAUGUCUUGAUAUGACUAUGUUCUUCUGCUUUGCUUGGUUCAUUGAGUAUUUCGAUGUCGAUGUAUACAGUUUUGUAGCUCUGUUCUAUAUGGGUUAGGUUGUUGUGAGCCAUUUUGUCUACCUCCUCAUGUGGUAUAAGAAUGUGCACUUUGUAAUUUCAAUGUGUAGACAUUGUGAUUGUGUCAACAUGCGGGCAUGUCUGGAUAGAUUUUGCUUCUUUCUUGAUAUUUUGUAAUGGGUGCCGAGAGCUCUUGGAUUUGGUCAGCAUUUAUUGGAUUCAACAAUUGUUAAAAACGGAGCUACAAUUUGUAAAUGAAGUGUUCUGUUUUCAUACCUUUAAUGACCUUAGCUGUUUGCCAUUUUCACAUGAUUUUUUGUGAUUAGAUUCUAAAAUUGAUGCCUAAAUGAAAGUUGUUCAUUAGGUUCCAAUCUAUAUCAAAUAAAAAUUUCGUGAUAAUUGAAGAUCAUUUACCCAGGUGGAGUAUGUCUAGAAUAUCCCUGACCUUGUUUGAAAUUUUGCUGUUCUGAUUGGUUCCCUGUUUCGGAAGACCUUUUGUGCAAAUGACCUGAUAUGAGCUGGUUGUUGUGGUUUUAUGUGUUCGAAGUCUUCAUGAAAGUUGAAGAUGGUUCGAUUAUAUUUCCAAUGAGCUAUAGAAUGCCCUAAUCGGACUUCAUUUAAUAUGAUUUUUGUCUGUCCAAAGUCUGGUCCAGAAUCUGCCAAAUGUUUGUCUCUCUGUUUUGGAUGACCUUCUGUGUAAAUCACUUGAUAUGAACUGGUAGAUGAUGUUAUUAGGACUUAAUGUCUUCUAGAUAAUCGUAAUAGGCAUCUCAAGCUUUAAAAUGACAUAUUGCAUGCCUGAAUCGACCAUCAUUUUCCAUGUUUAACUUUUCUUUCUAAUCUAUUCUGAAAUCUGGAAUUUGCCUUGGUCAGAAAUGCAUAUUCUGUUUUUGGGUGGGCCUGAUUGUCUGCCACUUUCCUACGAUCUUUUGAGUAUAGAUUUUGAGGUUGAUAAUACCAAAAAAGUAAAUCAUGUGUGGGAUGGUCUUACUUUAUUGUUCUCUUUUUUUAGCACAAUUCUGUUGUUUGAUAAUUGAUAUUAGAUAUCCACCAUCAAAUCAAUUUCCG